ACUAUAAAGUUAGAACAUUGCUAUAAUAAGAUACGUAAAAUAAAACUGUUUUCAGAGUACAAUGAUCGUUGUUUGCCUUAUGUAUCUUUUCAAAUCCUUCUUAAAAGAGAAAUCCGUUAAUUCUUCAAAAUCCAAAACCUUUUUCUUUUGUAUCAAAUAUUAAAAGUUUUCCUAAAUAGUAUGAAUGACCAAGUUGUUCCAAGUAUAGGUUCAUUAAGUCUAACCAGUUUGAUUUUCAUACUUUACUAAACCAAAAACACAAACCAAUCACAGCCUCCGGCCCAUCACAUAAUCAAUCAUGGCCCUAGACCCAAACAACUCCAUCAAUAUCAAUUCACUACAAUCUAAUCAAUUUCAGCCACAGACACAAGUAAGAAGGUUCAAACAAAAUCAAAGCAAUUACAUCAAGUAUAGCAAUUAGCAGUUAAACAUAAUUAUUCACAUAUGCAAACCAAUUACACUUUGCACACCCAAACAAUGUCACAUAUAUGCAUAUGAUGAAUGUUUAUCCUAUUGGCUCGUGAUAUUACUUGUCGGUCCAUAGAUGCCAACCUGACACAUCCUUUCGGAUGUAGCUUUUCUGCCACGCCAAGGAUAUAGUUGCCUACACACUAUUGACCCGUGGAUAUAGUGUCUGACACACUCGCAUGCAUAACCCAAGGAUAUAGUGUCUGACACACUCUUGCGACAGAAAAGGUUAUCUAUCAAAAUUCAACCAAAGGAUAUAGUGUCCUGCAUACUAUCGUUCCAAGGAUAUAGUGCGUGACACACUUUUAAUAUCCAACAAGUCCAUCGUCCCUUUCCAAGUUCCAAAACUCAUCAUCAAUUUCCAAUUUCUCAAAUCAAUUUUCUUUAAAACCAAAAGCCCAUUUCUUUGGUAAUAUUUUCGAAACUCCAAACAACUUCAAAAUCAUAUCAAUUGUAAAUCUCUUCCAAAAGUCAUCAAAAUCAUUCAUUUUAAAUCAAGAUUUGGUAAUAAAAAUUCAUAACAGAGUCUCAAAAUUUUAGGAGAAAACAACCUAUCUCAAUUCCUUAAAAUUUAUUGAAAACCCUUAUAAUUAUAGCUUCUUGGUUUGAGUAAAUAAAAAUAGAAUUUAAUUUAAAAUCGAAUCAUAUAAAUCACAAGUCCCAAACCCAAUUCAAAACCAAAUCACUUAAAAUGAAACCAAUCUGUUUAAAUCAAAAUCACUUUCAGGUUCACUCUUAAAACCAAUUCUCUGACUUCUUCCAAUACGUCACAAACGGAAUUAUUCAAUCAAAAUCCAAUUUUCUUUAAAUAAUUUAAUUCAAAACAUAAUUCAUUUUUUUUUUAAAUAAUUCAAGUAAAAUAAUAUAAUUCUUAAAUUCUCAAUUUUUUAAAUAACAGUUCAAACAAAGUCUCAGAUUUUAUAGAAAUUUUGGCAACACCUCUCCUAAAACUUAGACUUUGCCACCCUUUUCGAGUCACAACCAAGUCCUUCCACAACCCUUUUCAACGGGUUCAAGGCCAAAUCAGUUCAUAAUCAAGCCGAUUCCAAUAAUUUAUAUCAUCCUCAUAUCUCAAAAAAACCGAUUCAAAAUCAGAUCAUUUUCAACGAAUCAAACACAUUUCCAAAAACUUCAAAGAAACAAUUCAGCAACGGUCUGUUUAACAAAACCAAACAGAAAUUCGAAUCAAACAAGCAAUCAUAUUCAUCCAAUACAGCCAAACAAUACAUAAAACUUAUACAAUCACUGAAAAGUGUAUUUUUCACGCCAGUAUCUAUUUAUAACAAUUCCAAAUUAUAAAAUUGAGUUUUUUUAUAAAAAUCCCUACAUCGACAAGUCCAAACUAUAAACCAAAUGCGUCAACAGAACUCUUUUCUCUCAGUUCAAAACCGUAAACCAAAACCGUAACCUCAGUCCCUAACCACUCUCGCAGCAACCACAGCAACUUAAAUGCGACAUGCAACAACCAGAACUCAAACCUACGUUACCAAAUCUCAGAGGCUUUAAUCAAAUAUAAUAGAAUACUAACACAUGGAUUUUCGAAACAAAUACUUACCGUAAUAAGAAAACGAAACAGCGGCUGUCGCUGAACCGAUUUGGCGGUAGCCCCGGCAGUCACCUCAAGCGGCAGCGGCGACCAGAACUUCGGCGACAGCGAUUGUAACAACAUGUAGUGACGAUAAGGUUCCCGUCUUCCCGAAAACUCAAAAGAAUGUAAACCAAACUCAAAAUCCUUACCGGUGGUGGAUCUCAGCGGCUGCAGCGGUCUUUUUCGGCGGCAGAGGCUCAGCCACGGUGGCGAUAUAAAUGGCGAGGAACAGCGACAAAGACGCGGUGGUUCCAGGCCCGCGACCCUCUCUCUCACUCGCGAGCCUUCUCUCCUCGCGGCUCUGCUCUCGACGGCGCAGGCGACGCGAUGGUGGCGACGAGCUGGAGCACGAACGGCGGCGGCUAUGGCAGCGGUCUCCCUCCUCCACCGGCACUCCCUCUCUCUUGCCCGGAUCUCCUCUCUUCUCGGUCAGCAGCGGUGGCGACGGUGACAGUGACGCCCACCGCGGCGCCUUCCCUUCUCCCCCCUCUCCUUCCUUCCUUGGUCCCCUUCCCGCUUCCCUUUCUGCUUU